UACGUAGGGGGCAAGCGUUGUCCGGAAUCAUUGGGCGUAAAGCGCGCGUAGGCGGCCCUGUAAGUCCGUUGUGAAAGUCAAAGGCUCAACCUUUGAAAGCCGAUGGAUACUGCGGGGCUAGAGUCCGGAAGAGGCGAGUGGAAUUCCUGGUGUAGCGGUGGAAUGCGCAGAUAUCAGGAGGAACACCAAUAGCGAAGGCAGCUCGCUGGGACGGUACUGACGCUAAGGCGCGAAAGCGUGGGGAGCGAACAGG
rnacentral:rRNA from 1 species